rnacentral:rRNA from 1 species
GACGAACGCUGGCGGCGUGCUUAACACAUGCAAGUCGAGCGGUAAGGCCCUUUCGGGGGUACACGGGCGGCGAACGGGUGAGUAACACGUGGGUGACCUGCCCUCAGCUCUGGGAUAAGCCUGGGAAACCGGGUCUAAUACCGGAUAUGACUCCAUGACGCAUGUUGUGGGGUGGAAAGCCUUGUGCGGCUGAGGAUGGGCCCGCGGCCUAUCAGCUUGUUGGUGGGGUGAUGGCCACCAAGGCGACGACGGGUAGCCGGCCUGAGAGGGCGACCGGCCACACUGGGACUGAGACACGGCCCAGACUCCUACGGGAGGCAGCAGUGGGGAAUCUUGCGCAAUGGGCGAAAGCCUGACGCAGCGACGCCGCGUGAGGGAUGACGGCCUCGG